GCCCCCUUAGUUCAGCGGCAGAACGGGACAAUGGUAAUGUCCAGAUGGUGGUUCAAUUCCGCCAGGGGGCACCA
rnacentral:tRNA from 1 species